GGAAGGGCAGCCUUGUAAUUAAGGCACUGGACUGGUUCUCAGGAGACCUGGGUUCAAUUCCCAGCUCUGCCA
rnacentral:tRNA from 1 species